rnacentral:sRNA from 1 species
UUUUUUCAUGCUCUUUCUAGAUCAUUCAUGUUAAACUGUUUUUAAAAAAAUAAUUUUUAGAUUGUGCUAAUAGAAAGACAAUUCAAUCAUAAAUUACAUACUGCCUUUAAUUUCUGCUGCAAUUGCUUAAUUAACAAUUUUUGUAUCAAUCCAGAAUUUGAGAUAUAAGAACAUGUACAUGGGUUUGCAUUAAUUUAUUUAAAAAUUUGGACAUCUUUAAAUAUUUAUUAAAAGGUAUAUAUACCAGCAAAGCUCUACCUGAUUAAGAAAACAAGAUUGUACAUGUAUUUACUGGUAUGCUAGGGUGCAUUAUUGAACAUGUGUACCCUGAUAGUGCAUUUUCAUUGUUUAUGUUGAUCAAACAUAUCCAUCUUAUGUAAUUCAGCUACAAUAGUCUGUAUUUGUUGUUUCUGUGCUACUGAUCAAUAUUAGACUUAGUUCCCUCAUUAAAAGUGCAAUACAUGUAUUUUGUUCAUAAGUUUCCAAAGAAAUGUACUAGUUAAAGAGUUACAUGUGUGUGUAUGAUGGAUAUCAUUUUUUUAAAUAAAUGAGAGAAACACUAUG